UCCUGGCUCAGGACGAACGCUGGCGGCGUGCCUAAUACAUGCAAGUCGAACGAAGCUUUCUUUCACCGAAUGCUUGCAUUCACUGAAAGAAGCUUAGUGGCGAACGGGUGAGUAACACGUAGGCAACCUGCCCAAAAGAGGGGGAUAACACUUGGAAACAGGUGCUAAUACCGCAUAACCAUGAACACCGCAUGAUGUUCAUGUAAAAGACGGCUUUUGCUGUCACUUUUGGAUGGGCCUGCGGCGUAUUAACUUGUUGGUGGGGUAACGGCCUACCAAGGUGAUGAUACGUAGCCGAACUGAGAGGUUGAUCGGCCACAUUGGGACUGAGACACGGCCCAAACUCCUACGGGAGGCAGCAGUAGGGAAUCUUCCACAAUGGACGAAAGUCUGAUGGAGCAACGCCGCGUGAAUGAAGAAGGCCUUCGGGUCGUAAAAUUCUGUUGUCAGAGAAGAACGUGCGUGAGAGUAACUGUUCACGUAUUGACGGUAUCUGACCAGAAAGCCACGGCUAACUACGUGCCAGCAGCCGCGGUAAUACGUAGGUGGCAAGCGUUGUCCGGAUUUAUUGGGCGUAAAGGGAACGCAGGCGGUCUUUUAAGUCUGAUGUGAAAGCCUUCGGCUUAACCGAAGUAGUGCAUUGGAAACUGGAAGACUUGAGUGCAGAAGAGGAGAGUGGAACUCCAUGUGUAGCGGUGAAAUGCGUAGAUAUAUGGAAGAACACCAGUGGCGAAAGCGGCUCUCUGGUCUGUAACUGACGCUGAGGUUCGAAAGCGUGGGUAGCAAACAGGAUUAGAUACCCUGGUAGUCCACGCCGUAAACGAUGAGUGCUAAGUGUUGGAGGGUUUCCGCCCUUCAGUGCUGCAGCUAACGCAUUAAGCACUCCGCCUGGGGAGUACGGUCGCAAGACUGAAACUCAAAGGAAUUGACG
rnacentral:rRNA from 1 species